AUUGAACGCUGGCGGCGUGCUUAACACAUGCAAGUCGAUCGGUAACAGGUGUAGCAAUACAUGCUGACGAGAGGCGGACGGGUGAGUAAUGCUUGGGAAUCUGCCUAUUAGUGGGGGACAACCCGGGGAAACUCGGGCUAAUACCGCAUACGCUCUACGGAGGAAAGCCGGGGACCGCAAGGCCUGGCGCUAAUAGAUGAGCCCAAGUCGGAUUAGCUAGUUGGUAGGGUAACGGCCUACCAAGGCGACAAUCCGUAGCUGGUCUGAGAGGACGACCAGCCACACCGGAACUGAGACACGGUCCGGACUCCUACGGGAGGCAGCAGUGGGGAAUAUUGGACAAUGGGGGCAACCCUGAUCCAGCGACGCCGCGUGGGUGAAGAAGGCCUGCGGGUUGUAAAGCCCUUUCGGUGGGGAAGAAAAGUCUCGACCUAAUACGUCGGGACCUUGACGUAACCCACUAAAGAAGCA
rnacentral:rRNA from 1 species